GACGAACGCUGGCGGCGUGCUUAACACAUGCAAGUCGAACGGAAAGGCACUGCUUUUGUGGGGUGAUCGAGUGGCGAACGGGUGAGUAACACGUGAGUAACCUGCCCUUGACUUUGGGAUAACUUCAGGAAACGGGGGCUAAUACCGGAUAGGAGCUGCUGCUGCAUGGUGGGGGGUGGAAAGUUUCGGCGGUUGGGGAUGGAUGCGCGGCUUAUCAGCUUGUUGGUUGGGGAGUGGCUUACCAAGGCUUUGACGGGUAGCCGGCCUGAGAGGGUGACCGGCCACCUUGGGACUGAGAUACGGACCAGACUCCAACGGGAGGCAGCAGUGGGGAAUAUUGCACAACCGGACGAAGCCUGAUGCAGAAACGUUGCGUGCGGGAUGACGGCCUUCGGGUUGUAAAAAGCUUUCGCCUGUGACGAAGCGGGAGUGACGGUAAUGGGUAAAGAAGCACCGGCUAACUACGUG
rnacentral:rRNA from 1 species